UUAGGUUAAGUUAUGAAGGGCGCAUGGUGAAUGCCUUGGUACUAGGAGCCGAUGAAGGACGGGACUAACACCGAUAUGCUUCGGGGAGCGGUAAGUACGCUUUGAUCCGGAGAUUUCCGAAUGGGGCAACCCAAUCAGCUUAGUCGCUGAUUACUUGACUAGUGAAUACAUAGCUAGCAAGAGGUAGACGCAGUGAACUGAAACAUCUUAGUAGCUGCAGGAAGAGAAAGAAACAUCGAUUCCCUGAGUAGCGGCGAGCGAAAAGGGAAGAGCCCAAACCAACGAGCUUGCUUGUUGGGGUUGUAGGACUGAACAUUAGAGUUACCAAAGUGCGACGUAGUCGCAACAGUUGGGAAGCUGUGCCAUAGAGGGUGAAAGCCCCGUAGACGAAACGUCACACUCUCUGUUCAGGAUCCUGAGUACGGCGGGACACGUGAAACCCCGUCGGAACCCGCGAGGACCAUCUCGCAAGGCUAAAUACUCCCUAGUGACCGAUAGUGAACCAGUACCGUGAGGGAAAGGUG
rnacentral:rRNA from 2 species